rnacentral:rRNA from 1 species
GACGAACGCUGGCGGCGUGCUUAACACAUGCCAGUCGAGCGGAAAGGCCCUUCGGGGUACUCGAGCGGCGAACGCGUGAGUAACACGUGAGUAAUCUGCCCUUGGCUUUGGGAUAACUACCGCAAACGGUGGCUAAUACCGGAUCCGACAACCGUCUGCAUGGGCUGGUUGUGGAAAGUUUUUUCGGCCAGGGAUGUGCUCGCGGCCUAUCAGCUUGUUGGUGGGGUAAUGGCCUACCAAGGCUUCGACGGGUAGCCGGGCUGGGAGGGUGAACGGCCACACUGGGACUGAGACGCGGCACAGACUCCUAAGGGAGGCAGCAGUGGGGAAUAUGGGACAAUGGGCGGAAGCCUGAUCCAGCAACGCCGCGUGAGGGAUGACGGCCGUCGGGUUGUAAACCUCUUUCAGUACCGACGAAGCGCCGAUGAUGGUGGUGACGGUAGGUACAGAAGAAGCACCGGCCAACUACGUG